rnacentral:rRNA from 1 species
GACAGAGGGGGCAAGCGUUGCUCGGAAUCACUGGGCGUAAAGGGCGCGUAGGCGGGAUGGCAAGUCAGUCGUGAAAUCUCUCGGCUCAACCGAGAAACGUCGGCUGAUACUGCCGUUCUUGAGGGAUGCAGAGGAGACUGGAAUUCCCGGUGUAGCGGUGAAAUGCGCAGAUAUCAGGAGGAACACCGGUGGCGAAGGCGGGUCUCUGGGCAACUACUGACGCUGAGGAGCGAAAGCGUGGGGAGCGAACAGG